rnacentral:rRNA from 1 species
AACGAACGCUGGCGGCAGACUUAACACAUGCAAGUCGAACGCCCCGCAAGGGGAGUGGCAGACGGGUGAGUAACACGUGGGAACGUGCCCUAAGGUUUGGAAUAUUCCCGGGAAACUGGGAGCAAUACCAAAUGUGUCCGCAAGGAGAAAGAUUUAUCGCCUUAGGAUCGGCCGGCGUCAGAUUAGGUAGUUGGUGGGGUAAUGGCCUACCAAGCCGACGAGCUGUAGCUGGUCUGAGAGGACGACCAGCCACACUGGGACUGAAACACGGCCCAGACUCCUACGGGAGGCAGCAGUGGGGAAUCUUGGACAAUGGGCGCAAGCCUGAUCCAGCCAUGCCGCGUGGAUGAUGAAGGCCCUAGGGUUGUAAAAUCCUUUCGUUGGGGACGAUAAUGACGGUACCCAAAGAAGAAGCUCCGGCUAACUUCGUGCCAGCCGCCGCAGUAACAC